GCAUCCGCUGCUUAGUUCAACUUGCCUCCACCACACCUCCCAGGCCAUUCUCUCGUGCCCUCUCUUGGAUUCUCUCUCAGAUCCAUGCAAAUACAAAAUACUAGAAGUUGCCUUGAUUUAUUCAUUCCUUCACUUCAUAAACCAUAUCUUUCCUCCAACGUUUCUACCAUGUUGGCCUAUUGAAACUAGUAUCCCACUACAUAAUCUGAUACCUUGUUGUCUUGUAAAGGCUGGGCAAUGAAAUUUUGUAUUGUCUGAAUUGUACACUAACAGAUUAACUGUUGUAAAGUCAUGGUUCAAAUUUCUUGAUGCUGUUGGGUUCUGUUAUCUGAAUAUUAUGUGUUGAACAUGAUCCUACUUGGUUUGUCCUGCUUUUAAAUUGCGUGUUCUGAACCAUCUGAAACUAAUAAUGCUAGUUUGUACUAAGGUUUUGUGUUUGAUUUAGAAGCCAGGUAAUGAAAACUGUGUAUCCUCUAAAAAAGUACUGUAUGUUCCGUGUUCUAAAGCAUGUGUGAUUGAUAGUACAGUUAAUUAAACUGUUGGUUUUCCUACCAUGAUUUGGCACUGACCUAAUACUUACUGUUUGUGUUUAUUUCAGAGAUGUCUGUUUUCCCUUGUUUCAGAAGAAAAAAACCGCACAAGUUCCAGUGCCUGACACUAAGAUGAAGAUCAGCUGCGCCUGUCUAGACACAAUAAGUUGAGACACAAGUGCAUCGUGAGAUAACAGAACCCAACAGCAUCAACAGGAGGCCUUGGAGCGAUGGGUUCAGCAGAUUUUGCAAGAAAUGCAUCUUUUUUUGUUGCUGAUUCUGUGUUAAAUCCAAUGAAGUUGUAAAGUAAUGAAUGCUCCUUGCACACAUGCUGUUGUUUAACAGUAAAAAAAGUGUUUCUAUGUACAUCCUGCUGUUGUGUAUAUUUGAUCGAAUCAGGAAUUGCAUCAUAUAUUUGAUAGCAAUA